AGUGAACGCUGGCGGUAGGCCUAACACAUGCAAGUCGAACGGCAGCACAGGAGAGCUUGCUCUCUGGGUGGCGAGUGGCGGACGGGUGAGGAAUACAUCGGAAUCUACUUUUUCGUGGGGGAUAACGUAGGGAAACUUACGCUAAUACCGCAUACGACCUACGGGUGAAAGCAGGGGACCUUCGGGCCUUGCGCGAUUGAAUGAGCCGAUGUCGGAUUAGUUAGUUGGCGGGGUAAAGGCCCACUAAGGCGACGAUCCGUAGCUGGUCUGAGAGGAUGAUCAGCCACACUGGAACUGAGACACGGUCCAGACUCCUACGGGAGGCAGCAGUGGGGAAUAUUGGACAAUGGGCGCAAGCCUGAUCCAGCCAUACCGCGUGGGUGAAGAAGGCCUUCGGGUUGUAAAGCCCUUUUGUUGGGAAAGAAAUCCAGCUGGCUAAUACCCGGUUGGGAUGACGGUACCCAAAGAAUAAGCACCGGCUAACUUCGUGCCAGCCGCCGCGGUAA
rnacentral:rRNA from 1 species